rnacentral:rRNA from 1 species
AUGACCACCGUAGGCGCUGGGUCCAUGGACCGCGCCUUCCCGGCCAACGUGCGUCUCGGCAACGGCCAAGUGCUCGACGGCGUGAGCGUGUACGGCGGGCCGGUGCUCCAGUCCGGCAAAAUGUACGAGCUGGUAUACGCCGGGGCAACCAGUUACUCGGCGUCGACGUGCCUCGACGGGUCGCUGGACCAGGCGGCCGUGCGCGGGAAGAUCGUGGUGUGCGACCGCGGCGUGAACUCGCGCGCCGCCAAGGGCGACGUGGUUCACCGCGCGGGCGCCGCCGGGAUGGUGCUCGCCAACGGGGCGUUCGACGGGGAGGGCCUCGUAGCCGACUGCCACGUCCUGCCAGCCACCGCCGUCGGUGCAGCGGCCGGCGAGAAGCUCCGUAAGUACAUCGCGUCGUCCACCCCGCAGAAGCCGGCCACGGGCACCAUCCUGUUCGAGGGCACUCACCUCGGCGUGCACCCGGCGCCGGUGGUGGCGGCGUUCUCGGCGCGCGGCCCGAACCCCCAAUCUCCAGAGACACUCAAGCCGGACCUCAUAGCGCCCGGCCUGAACAUCCUCGCCGCGUGGCCCAGCGGCGUCGGCCCGGCCGGCAUUCCCUCCGACGGCCGGCGCACGGAGUUCAACAUCCUCUCCGGCACAUCCAUGGCGUGCCCGCACGUCUCCGGCCUGGCGGCGCUGCUCAAGGCGGCGCACCCGACGUGGAGCCCCGCGGCCAUCAAGUCGGCGCUCAUGACCACGGCCUACACCAGGGACAACAGCAACGGCACCAUGCUCGAGGAGUCGACCGGCAAGGUGGCCGACGUGUUCGACUUCGGCGCCGGGCACGCGGACCCGAUGCGCGCCAUGGACCCGGGCCUCGUCUACGACAUCGCGCCCGCGGACUACGUCAACUUCCUCUGCAACCUCAACUACACGGAGCAGAACGUCCGGGCGAUCACGCGGCGCCGGGCCGACUGCCGCGGCGCGCGCCGCGCCGGGCACGCCGGCAACCUCAACUACCCGUCCCUGUCCGCCAUGUUCGUCGCGGACGGCGGGAAGGCGAGGAUGAGGACCCACUUCAUCCGCACGGUGACCAAUGUGGGCGGCGGCAGGUCGGCGUACCGCGCCACCGUGAGGGCGCCGGAGGGGUGCAAUGUGACGGUGCGGCCCGACCGGCUGGCGUUCCGGCGCGACGGGCAGAAGCUCAGCUUCACAGUACACGUGGAGGCCGCGGCGCGGGCGAAGAUGGAGCCCGGGAGCUCGCAGGUGAGGAGCGGGGCGCUGACGUGGAGCGACGGCCGGCACGCCGUCGUGAGCCCGAUCGUGGUGACGUUGCAAGCGCCAGUGCAGUAG